rnacentral:rRNA from 1 species
GACGAACGCUGGCGGCGUGCUUAACACAUGCAAGUCGAACGGAAAGGCCCUGCUUUUGUGGGGUGCUCGAGUGGCGAACGGGUGAGUAACACGGGAGUAACCUGCCCUUGACUUUGGGAUAACUUCAGGAAACUGGGGCUAAUACCGGAUAGGAGCUCCUGCUGCAUGGUGGGGGUUGGAAAGUUUCGGCGGUUGGGGAUGGACUCGCGGCUUAUCAGCUGGUUGGUGGGGUAGUGGCUUACCAAGGCUUUGCCGGGUAGCCGGCCUGAGAGGGUGACCGGCCACAUUGGGACUGAGAUACGGCCCAGACUCCUACGGGAGGCAGCAGUGGGGAAUAUUGCACAAUGGGCGGAAGCCUGAUGCAGCAACGCCGCGUGCGGGAUGACGGCCUUCGGGUUGUAAACCGCUUUCGCCUGUGACGAAGCGUGAGUGACGGUAAUGGGUAAAGAAGCACCGGCUAACUACGUG